rnacentral:rRNA from 1 species
UUGACCUCAAAUCAGGUAGGACUACCCGCUGAACUUAAGCAUAUCAAUAAGCGGAGGAAAAGAAACUAACAAGGAUUCCCCUAGUAACUGCGAGUGAAGCGGGAAAAGCUCAAAUUUAAAAUCUGGCAGUCUCUGGCUGUCCGAGUUGUAAU